rnacentral:tRNA from 1 species
UGUCCUGGGAUGGGAAUCGAACCCACAGUGUUCCGCUUACCAUGUCCACUAGGCUGUCCUGGAC